rnacentral:rRNA from 1 species
UACGUAGGGUGCAAGCGUUUGUCCGGAAUUAUUGGGCGUAAAGAGCUCGUAGGCGGUUUGUCGCGUCUGCUGUGAAAACCCGAGGCUCAACCUCGGGCCUGCAGUGGGUACGGGCAGACUAGAGUGCGGUAGGGGAGAUUGGAAUUCCUGGUGUAGCGGUGGAAUGCGCAGAUAUCAGGAGGAACACCAAUGGCGAAGGCAGCUCGCUGGGACGGUACUGACGCUGAGACGCGAAAGCGUGGGGAGCAAACAGG